UACGUAGGGGGCAAGCGUUGUCCGGAUUUAUUGGGUUUAAAGGGUGCGUAGGCGGCUUUGCAAGUCAGUGGUGAAAUAUGGCAGCUCAACUGUCAAGGUGCCAUUGAUACUGCGGAGCUUGAGUACAGAUGAGGUAGGCGGAAUUGACGGUGUAGCGGUGAAAUGCUUAGAUAUCGUCAAGAACACCUAUAGCGAAGGCAGCUUACUAGGCUGUAACUGACGCUGAGGCACGAAAGUGUGGGGAUCAAACAGG
rnacentral:rRNA from 1 species